rnacentral:lncRNA from 1 species
UAUAUAUAUAUAUAUAUAUUUCCUCAACUGGCUAUUUUUAAUAUAUAUAUAACACAAACCCGUCAACUUUAACAAAUAGUGGACCACAAAUCUUUCGUAAAAGGUGUAUUUUGAAGAGUGAAAAUCAUUCCUUUGGCCAUUAAUUAAACCAUGGAUAGAAAAAUUACUAAUUUCUUGAUCUAGUAUUUGUCUUCGCCCUUAAAGCCUAAUAGAAAUGAAUAAGUGAGGAGUGGUGAUUGAAUAAUCUGUUAUAUUCUCUAUGUGAUUUUUUAUCACAAGGUGUUGAGUUCAAUUUUAUAUCUAUAUAAAUAUUUUCAUUAAUUUACAUAUAUUCCCAUGUAUCAUUACUUCAUUUAGAUUACUGAUUGCACAACCUUUAUUCUUAGUUUUUCUCCUUGUCCCAAUUAACUUUGCGAAGGAAGCGGUAAAACUACGUAACACGUUAGGAAUUGGAAACAAAUUACUAAAUCAAAUAACAAAAAUAAUUUGAUUUUGUUAAGAAUUGAAUUCUAUUUGGAGUGAAUAUCUUUCUUGUAGAGAGUUUUACUUUGAGACUAAGUCAUUUUUCCUACUAGAAAUAAAGGGCUCUUACCCCAUUGUAAAUCACCCCAAAAUUCAAUAAGAAUUUUCUCUCUCUCUUUAUCUGCAAUAUUGCUCUUGUUCUUUUAUUAUUUUAUAACACGUUAUCAGCACGAGACUCUGCCGUCUCAAGAAGCUCUUUGAGAAGAUUAAGGCAAUUUUUCUCCUCUUUUUAAUUAUGACUGACAUUAU